CUUUACUCAAAUAAGGAAAUUAUACCAUGCAGGUUUGCCAAAGAACAAAUGAAGUCAGCCCUGGCAAAAUGACGAUUCUCUGAUUGCUGCCUCCAGCCAUGAAAGUGCAGGAUCUGACUGGGUUUUAUUUUCAUCACCAUUACAACAGCAUUUAAAAGGUACACGAUGGCUCACGGGAAUGCCAGUGUUCCAGGGUGUCCAUCUGGGAAUCAAACAACUCUCCUUCAGUUCCAAGCAGGUCACAGAAUCUUGUCAGAGAACUCCUG